AGUAGGGAAUAUUGGACAAUGGGCGCAAGCCUGAUCCAGCCAUGCCGCGUGAGUGAAGAAGGCCCUCGGGUUGUAAAGCUCUUUUGUUGGGGAAGAAAAGCAGUUGGUUAAUACCCGAUUGUUCUGACGGUACCCAAAGAAUAAGCACCGGCUAACUUCGUGCCAGCAGCCGCGGUAAUACGAAGGGUGCAAGCGUUACUCGGAAUUACUGGGCGUAAAGCGUGCGUAGGUGGUUGUUUAAGUCUGAUGUGAAAGCCCUGGGCUCAACCUGGGAAUGGCAUUGGAUACUGGAUAGCUAGAGUGCGGUAGAGGGUAGUGGAAUUCCCGGUGUAGCAGUGAAAUGCGUAGAGAUCGGGAGGAACAUCCGUGGCGAAGGCGACUACCUGGGCCAGCACUGACACUGAGGCACGAAAGCGUGGGGAGCAAACAGGAUUAGAUACCCUGGUAGUCCACGCCCUAAACGAUGCGAACUGGAUGUUGGGCUCAACUUGGAGCUCAGUAUCGAAGCUAACGCGUUAAGUUCGCCGCCUGGGGAGUACGGUCGCAAGACUGAAACUCAA
rnacentral:rRNA from 1 species